ensembl:snoRNA
CUGAUGCAAUGAUGAUCGCAUAGUUCAGCAGAUAACUGUGACGAAGAAACAUGUCUUUCGCUCCUAGCUGAUGCAUCGG